AUGCCCUACCAGACCCUCUUGAUGUGCCUUCCCGGAUUUACUCGUUCCAUCGUCCACCUCCACCCCGAGCUGCUCCUCUUAUUUAGGGUACAGGACUGGCCUCCAGUGCCCUCUCCCGCCAGCCUCCCCCAGUUGCCUGGAGGGGUCCGGUGCUGCCUUCGGAGGAGUGAGAGAGUUAGAGCCCCAGGGAGCCAGCAUAGAAACUCCUCUCCCUGCCGCCAUCCACACAGUCCCAAGGCCUGCUGGUUCUACAUGCGUUCUCUGGAAGCUGUCCUUUCAUGUGAAGUUGUUUUCAGCUCAAUAAUGCACCACCUUGUAUUUGCCUUCCUUCGCCUUUCCUUUCACCCUUACUAUCUUGGAAUUGUAUCUCCCAGUAAAAUCUUACAACUUAAACUUGGCCUCAGGCUCUGCCUUCAUGUGAAUCAUUUAGCAGCCUUUGGGCUUUAGGUCUGUGCUUUUCUGAAAAUUCCACAACCACAAUAACACAAAAUUAGGAUUUUUUUUUUCUCUGUUUUGGCUCUGGUUUACUGUCCCAUUAAAGUGCUUCUUUAAAAGGCAUCCAAUUGAGACCAGUGCUGAAUACAUACAUUUUUAUAGGUAUGCCCCUAUUUGAAGUUGCUAGAAAUAAUGAAAGUUUGGGCUUCCACUUACUGGUUCCUAGUGGUGUUUAUUCUCAAGAGUAAAUUCCUAGAGCAUAGGCACCUAAACGCUUUAAACAUUUGGAAACUUAAACCUGAGUUGCAUGCAAGUGCAAAACAAAAUGCUUUCAAAUCAUCAUCAAGCUGUUAGUGUGGGGGUCUACUUAUGUUUUUGGCCAGGUUCUAGCUUUCCUAAAGACAUCAGAGAAGGAUAUGCUAAAGCCUUUUUAAGUGACUUUUGGCUUAUAGUGCUUUACGAAACAAUUUUUCUUUGCAUUAUUUUCUGUAUUAAAUACUUCAGUAAGUGUUUUUAAUGAUAACAGCCACUGGGCUUUGUGGCUGCUGUUUAUUGCAAGUUUGCCAGGCCUUAUUCUAGGCUUCCCUUCCACCUGGGCUUGCCAACCAUCUGUAACUUGAUCAACAGUAAUUUGAGAUGGGACUGGCCAGGGUCAUAUGUUAAAUAGGACAUUUCCACUUUUCUGACCACAAAAUCCUCCCGUUCCUGAACGCUCAAAAACUGUUACAUAAUCUACAAACACAUGGCUCUAAUAAAUUCUACUACAUACCUUGGCAAAGGUAACACAUGAAAUUUACCUUUCUAUUGGCACAAUAUAUUGUAUUAAAGAUGGUUUUCAUUGCUUAUAAUUGUGGCCUAUCAGAGCAUUUAGUUAUUUUUAAUAACACAUUCUGCCUUCAUCCACAUCAUUAUAGUGAAUUGAUUUUUGCAAGGAAAACUUGGUCAUCUAGCAUGUGAAAAAUUUUUAUCCUUGUUUGAAAAAUGUUUCAUCUGAGGUUAAUUUCCUUUGGGAGCAAAAAUGAAGCCAGGCUGUCGGUACACAUGAUGUGUUUAAAUACAUUUUCACGAAGAAAAAAAAAGAAUACCUUGGGUUACAGACAUGAAGUAUCAGAAGGCAUCCCAAUAAACAAAAGUGAGAGCUCCUCUUUAAAUCCUAGCACUUGAUUAUUUUCAAAUAUAUAAGGGCAGAUAAUGUUCAGCAAACGUGCAGGUUUUACAAAUUGGCUCUUCAGAGUAGGUCAUAAGCUUGCUGCAAUUGUGUUCCCAUUACUCAAACAUUUUUAGAAUUCUUUAGAAACUUGCCACAAGAGUCUGAGUCACAUUCUUUUAAAUGACAUAAUCAGUGAUAGCAAAUCUUCCACCUCUGAGAGUAGAGUUUUAGAAAUACCCAAGUCAUUUGAAACCACCCCGAGUUUACUAACAUCAUUUGGCAGGGAAAAUUGAACUAGAAAGAGUGAACUGAUUAAAUGCUUUUUAAAAAAUUAAACUCCAAGAAAUGGAAGAUUAGGGAAAGAUUGGAGCAGAAAUUAAUCAUUAGAAAAGGACAUUUUCGAUCAAUUCCAUAGGUAAUUAUUUGGAAAAAGAUCAAGAAAAUGGAGAAAUCUCUGAUCUAUUUUUUAAAAAGGAAAAAAGAAAAUAUAAAAUUAUAAAGGAGAAAGACAGACAUGGAGACUUUUAAAAAAUUAUAUGAGGCUACUAUGUGAUAUUAGCUAUGUGCUAAACAUUUUUUUCUGGAAAACCAUAUCACCUAAAUUGAAUCUAGAAGUAGAAAAACUAAGUAAGUCAAAGCUAGGGGAGAAAUUAAUAAAAGGCCUGAAGACUGAGAGAGGCUUUAGACAAAUUCUUGCAUAUUUUGAAGGACUAAAAUCCCUUUCUAAAUUAAUAAAGACACUAAAAUUUAAUUUUUUGUGAGUGAAACCAUUUUCACUAUAAAACCCAUCAAAAAUGGUAUAGCCAAGUAUGAUGCCUCACACCUGUAAUCCCAGCACUUUGGAAGCUAAGGUGGGAAGAUUGCUUGAGCACAGCAGUUCCAAGAGACCCCAUCUUUACAAAAAGUAAAUAAUUAUCUGGGCCUGGUGGUAGGCUCCUGCAGUCUUAACUACUUGAAAAGAUGAAAUGGGAGGAUCAUUUGAGCUCAAUAGGUCGAGGCUACAGUGAGCUGUGAUCUCGUCCUGCACUCCAGCCUGGGUAACAGAGCAACACCCUGUCUCAAAAAAAAAAAAAAAAAAAAAAAAAGAUACAAAAAGGACACUCAAAAAAUGAAAUUUCACAUAAGACACUCAAAGCCAGAACUCCCCCAAAAUACCAAAAAUAUCAGCAAAUUAAAUUGAGUAAAGUCAGUCAUUUUAAACAAUCAGGUAGAUUUUAUCCUAGAAAUGCCAGGAUUCAAUACUGGCAAAAUAGUUUAUAUAAAAAUACAUUUAGGCUAUAUAAGAAUAAAAACCUUAUUAUCUCAAUAAGUGAUAAAAAUCUAGCACCUACUCCCAAUUAAAACAACUAUAUAUUUUUUAAAACUUUUAGUAAAUGUUAAACUGAAAGCCAACAUCAUAUCUUUUAAUAAGAUUUUGUAAAAAUAAUAAUGCUACUGGUAAGUCAGCCAAAUUAAAUUUAUACCUUCUCUCCGAAGGCCUGAGUAGCUAGGAUUACAGUGCAUGCCACCAUGCCCAGCUAAUUUUUGUAUUUUUAGUAGAGAUAGGGUUUCACCAUUUGGCCAGGCUGGUCUUGAACUCUUGACCUCAGGUGGUCCACCCACCUCGGCCUCUCAAAAUGCUGGGAUUACAGGUAUGAGCCACCGCACCUGAACUGCUUUUUGUUUUUUAAUUUCAUAAAGUACUUUCUACAUCUUUCUACAUCAGCACAUAUAGAUCUACCAAAAUUUUCAUAGUGGUUGAGUACAGUUACAUGAAUGAACCAUGAUUUUUCACUCACCUAUUAGAGACUAUUUAGACUAUUUUCUAGUUUUCUGCAAUUAUAUACAGUCAGAGCAUCCUUGAAUGUCUUUUGCUACUGGUGCAGGUGUACUUGUUGAAUUAAUGCCUAGCAAUGGAAUUGCAGAUCAAUAUUUGUAUAGAUAUUUCCAAAUUAAUAUUCAAAGAGACUGGGUUAAUUUACAAAUCCACUAAAAGUGUGUGCAAAAAUGUCGGUAAUUGUUGAAGCUAGGUGAUAGGCACAUUAAACUUUAUUCCAUCUUCUUUUGUGUAUAUUUUUAAAUUCCCAUACUCAAUGACAGGCAUUUUCAUUAAAAACAGGUAUAAAUAGGCCUGCUUUCACCACUAUUAUUUUAAAUCGUGCUGAAAUAAUUAUUUAAUAAGACAAGAAACAGAAAUACUAAGUAAAAUAUUGCAAAACAGUAGACAAAUUGCCUUUAUUUGCAGAUACUUUUUGCCUAGAAAACUUAAGAAACUUGAUUGAAAAUCUAUUAUAAAAUAAUUAUUAAAAUCAAUUAACUUUCUACUCAUCUAACAAUGACCUGUUUGGAAAUUUAACUUUUUUCGGUUGUUGAAACCUG
rnacentral:lncRNA from 1 species